AUGUUUUUUGAAAUUUGAUCUGAAAGCAUUUGAUUUUUUCUUACUCAAUGAAUAUUAUUGCCAUAGAUGGAAAAGAAUAUUUUGUACAACGUAUUUAUUUUUUAUUCAUAUGCUCUUACCAUUAUUAGAUUAUAUAGCUUUUAUUAGAGAGAAUCAAAUCAGCAUAUUAUAUCAUUGCAAAUCAAUAUAAAUCCCUGUAAAUCAGCUUUUGAUGAUUGUAUAUUCAUCUAUUUAUUUAAUGAAAACAGAAGAGCAAGGGGCCAUUCAAUUAAACAUCUACUAAAUUCUUCAAAAAUUAUCAUAGUAUCAGAGCUCUAAUCUUGAGUUUUGGAAUUCUGGGUUGUUCUUGGUGUUAUUAGAGUUUCAGGUCUCUGCAGGUUGCAAGUUGUGUGUGUUCUUGGUUGUUCUAUGUAUCGGCAUGUUUUUUUCUUUCACUGAUAUUUGGUUGAGUUUGCAGAUCCAGUUUAGGAGAAACUCACAUAUUUUGGUAAUAUUUUCAGUUAUAUUCAGUUGCUUUUAUCUAAAAUGGGUGGUGAUAAAUCUGAAUUUUGAGUCAAAUCUAUGUGAAAGAAUUAUUCAACAUGGAAAUUUCAAUUUCGAUUAUAUGUUACCGAGAAAGAGUUAAGGGGACGUAUUGAUCGCACUGAUCUAGUCCCAACGGAUGCUGCUAAAUUAACUCAAUGGACGAUUAAAGAUGCUCGAGUGAUGUCUUAGAUCAUUGGGUCAUGCGAGUCCUAAAUUGUUCUUAAUUUACGUUCCUAUAAAAUUGCUCAAAAAAUGUGGGAGUAUUUGAAAAAGCUUUACCAUCAAACAAAUUCAGCUAGGAGAUUUCAAUUGGAGUAUGAGAUUACAAACUAUAAACAGGGAAGUCUAUCUAUUCAAUAUUAUUUUUCUAAUUUUCAAAAUUUAUAGGCUGAAUUUUCUGACAUAGUUUGUGGAUCAGUGUCUAAUGAUUCUCUUGCUGAUGUAUUAGCUGUUCAUAAGAUUAGCAAGCGAGAUCAGUUUUUGAUGAAGCUGAGACCAGACUUUGAAAAUGCUCGUUCUAAUUUGAUGAAUUGCCAUCCUCCUCCUUCCUUGGAUGUUUGCUUCAGUGAAUUAAUCGUGAAGAACAACGUCUUAUUACACAAACCACUCUUGAAUAGGAGAAAAUGACUACAACACAUAUGGCAUUUUGGCUCAAGGAAAAGGCCAGGGUAGAGACUUGCGUAAGAUUCAGUGUUUUAAUUACAAGAAUUAUAGGCAUAUUGCUACAAAUUAUGCUAAGAAAGUUUGCAAUUAUUACAAAAAGCCAGGCACAUCAUCAAAGAUUGUUCAAUUCGUCCUCAAACGCCAAACUGUCGCUUUUCAAGAAACUGUUGGCAACUCUUCUCCUAGUCAGAUUCAAACCGAGCCCACAACUAUGAUGGUAGUCAAUCAAAAUGCUCAACAAAUUGCCGUUACUCCUCAAAUGCUGCAAAAAAUGAUAGUUUCAGCUUUCUCAGCUCUUAGUAUUCAAGAUCAGGUAUCGGGGACGAUGAUCACGAAGGGGCCUAGAGUAGGAUGUUUGUUUCCUCUACAUAUUUCAAUUCCUAGUAAUAUUUCUUUAGUUUGUUCUGCAAUUGUUAAUAAAAUUGAGCAGUGGCAUAAACAUUUGGCCACCCCAAUUCUAUUAUAUUGUCUUAUUUGUUGAAAUCUGAUUUAUUAGGCAGUAAUGAUCAAUUCUGAAGUCUUUCUUUUGAUUGUUCAACUUGUAAAUUGAGAAAAAGUAAAAUUCUUCCUUUUCCUCUUA